rnacentral:rRNA from 1 species
AUUGAACGCUGGCGGCAUGCCUUACACAUGCAAGUCGAACGGUAACGCGGGGCAACCUGGCGACGAGUGGCGAACGGGUGAGUAAUGCAUCGGAACGUGCCCAGUAGUGGGGGAUAGCCCGGCGAAAGCCGGAUUAAUACCGCAUACGACCUACGGGUGAAAGCGGGGGAUCGCAAGACCUCGCGCUAUUGGAGCGGCCGAUGUCAGAUUAGGUAGUUGGUGGGGUAAAGGCCUACCAAGCCUACGAUCUGUAGCUGGUCUGAGAGGACGACCAGCCACACUGGGACUGAGACACAGCCCAGACUCCUACGGGAGGCAGCAGUGGGGAAUUUUGGACAAUGGGGGCAACCCUGAUCCAGCCAUGCCGCGUGCGGGAAGAAGGCCUUCGGGUUGUAAACCGCUUUUGUCAGGGAAGAAAUCUCCUGAGCUAAUACCUCGGGGGGAUGACGGUACCUGAAGAAUAAGCACCGGCUAACUACGUGCCAGCCGCCGCGGUAAAAC